GCAAGGGUGAUGUAGUGGUUAACACAUCUGCCUAGCGAGCAGAAGACCCAGGUUCGAACCCUGGCCUUGGUA